rnacentral:rRNA from 1 species
ACUGGAUGAAGGUUUAACGGGGGCUGGAGUCUGGUUUAAAAAUAGUAAUUUGUAUUUUAUAUAAAAAUAUUUAAAUAAUUUUAAGGGACGAUAAGACCCUAUAAGCUUUAUUGAGUAAAUUAGUUUAGGAGAAAAUUAAAAAGGAUUUAGCUGGGGUAGUUGUUAUGGUUAAGCUAUAAUUAAAAAUAACAAGGAAAAAGGGUUUACAGGUCCUUUAAAUAAGGAAAAAUUGAGUUAGUUACUUUAGGGAUAACAGCGCAAUAAUUUCGGGGAGACCUUAUUUAUGAAGUUGAUUACGACCUCGAUGUUGAAUUAAGAGUUCUUUUUGAAGCAAAAGUUAGGAGAGAGGGUUUGUUCAACCUUUAAAUUUUUACAUGAUUU